rnacentral:lncRNA from 1 species
AACAGGGGAUAAACACUAAGUUCAUGACUGUAAGCAAUUUAGAAAACAAUGACUGUAAUGUAUGUUUAAUCAACAUCCAAAACAUCAGGUUGACUGUAUGAACAUCUAGAAAACAUAGUAGAACAAUGACUCUACAUAGCAGAACAUCAAGUUGCCGAGUUUUCUGAAGCCAUCUGAACAAAGAAGACAAGCUGAUUCUCAAAUUUUUCUCCCAUGUUCUUCUCUAUGGUCCUUGUGCAUCAGCAUCUUGGUAAACUAACGCCUUAGCAUCUGAAAU